CCUAAAAAGGUGGCUGGAGCUAAAGGCAUAGUCUUUGACCUCUCCCAAAAUCAGUUAGCAUUUAGGCUCUUUUUCAUCACAUAUAAAAACCCAGCCCAGUUCAUGGCUCAUUUGGCAGCAACCCUGAGACGCUUUACAGCCCUAGACCCUGAAAGGUCAGAAGGCCGUCUUAUUCUCAAUAUGCAUUUUAUUACCCAAUCUGCUCCCGACAUGAAAUAAAGCUCCAAAAAUUAAAUUCCGGCCCUCAAACCCCACAACAGGACUUAAUUAACCUCACCUUCAAGGUGUACAAUAACAGAGUAGAGGCAGCCAAGUAGCAAUGUAUUUCUGAGUUGCAAUUCCUUGCCUCCACUGUGAGACAAACCCCAGCCACAUCUCCAGCACACAAGAACUCCAAACGCCUGAACCGCAGCUGCCAGGGGUUCCUCCAGAAACUUCCCCCAGGAGCUUGCUACAAGUGCCAGAAAUCUGGCCACUGGGACAAGGAAUGCCCACAGCUCGGGAUUCCUCCUAAGCUGCGUCCCAUCUGUGUGGGACCCCACUGAAAAUCGGACUGUUCAACUCACCUGGCAGCCACUUCCAGAGCCCCUGGAACUCUGGCCCAAGGCUCUCUGACUCCUUCCCAGAUCUUCUCAGCUUAGCAGCUGAAGACUGACACUGCCUGAUCGCCUCAGAAGCCUACAGGACCAUCACAGAUGCUCUAGAUAACUCUCACAGUGGAGGGAAUAUUCCAGCUGGGCUUCAUGGAGAGAACACAUGUAAGUGCUACAGCUGAGCUGCAUCUACAAGUCAUCCCAGUUCUGGUGGCAGACCCGUGAGUGAAGCCUCUGAUUCUGGCCCCCCCCCACAGAGGCAACCCCAACUGAGGCUUCACAGAAACCCUCCACCAUCCCUGUGCCCUGACUGAAUUCCUGACCCACAGAUUUCAUGGACGUAACAAAAUGGGUAUUUUGUACCAUUAGAACUGGAGUGGUUUGUUAUGCUGCAGUAGUAAUUGGAUAGUAAGUUUCAAUAUCUGAUAAAAGCAGGCCUUAAUCAUUAUUCCUUUUUUUCCCAGAAAUUUUCUGACUAUUCUUGUUAUCUUUUCAUAUACAUUUUUGAAACAUACUAUAGUCUCUGAAGUCCCUUUUCUACCACCACUACCAUCAUAUAUAUGUAUAUAUGUAAUAUAAUAUAUGUAAUUUUAUUAGGGUGGCUUAAAAAUUGUUUUCUCAUAAUAAUAAUGUUAGAUUUUCUGUUCAAAAACAGGGUACAUAUUUCUAUUUAUUAAAUAUUCUAAAAUGCCCCCACAAAAAUUUAAAAUUUUCAGUGAUAUAAGUCCUAUAUAUUAUUUGUUAAAGGCAUUCUUAAGUAUUUUACCUUUUUAAAAAUAGACUUUAUUUUUAGAGCAGUGUUAGAUUCACAGCAUAAUUGAGUGGAAGGAACAGAGAUUUCCCUUUCUCCCCUGCCCUAACACAUGCAUAGCCUCUCCCAUUGUCAACGUCCUUCGUCAGAAUGUUACAUUGGUUACACACAAUGAACCUACAUUGACACAUCCUUAUCACCCAGAGUCUAUGAUUUAUAUUAGGGUUCACUCUUGGUGUUGUAGAUUCUAAGGGUUUGAACAAAUGCAUAAUGACAUGUAUAAUGGUGGGGCCACAUAUUUUAUUUCAUUUUUUAAAAUUUAAUUUUUAAUUUAUGUGGGUACGUGGUAGGUGUAUCUAUUUAUGGGGUACAUGAGAUUCUUUGAUACAUGCAUGCAAUGUGUAAUAAUCACAUCAUGGUAAAUGGGGUAUCCAUCCCCUCAAACAUUUAUCCUUUGCAUUACAAACAUUCCAAUUAUACUUUUUUAGUUAUUUAAAAAUGUACAAUUAAAUUAGUACUGAUUGUAGUCACCCUGUUGUGCUGUCAAAUACUAGGUCUUAUUCAUUCUUUCUAACUAGUUUUUUGUACACUCCCCUACACCCCACUCCCCACUACCCUUCCCAGCUUCUGGUAAUCAUCUGUCUACUCUCUAUUUCCAUGAGUUCAGUUGUUUUAAUUUUUGGCUUCCACAAAUAAGUGAAAACAAGCAAAGUUUAUCUUUCUGUGCCUGGCUUAUUUCACACAACAUAAUGACUUCCAGUUCCAUCCAUGUUGUUGCAAAUGACAGAAUCUCAUUCUUCUUUAUGGCUGAAUAGUAUUCCAUUGUGUAUAUCUAUGACAUUUCGUUAUCCAUUCGUCUCUUGAUGGGCACUUAGGUUACUUCCAAAUCUUGGCUAUUGUGAAUAGUGCUACAAUAAACAUGGGAGUGCAAAUCUCUCUUUGAUAUCCUGCUUUCCCUUCUUUUGAGU
rnacentral:lncRNA from 1 species